rnacentral:rRNA from 1 species
UACGUAGGGAGCGAGCGUUGUCCGGAUUCAUUGGGCGUAAAGAGCUCGUAGGCGGCUUGAUAAGUCGGAUGUGGAACCUCCAGGCUCAACCUGGAGUCGCCAUCCGAUACUGUCAUGGCUAGAGUCCGGUAGGGGCCCACGGAAUUCCUGGUGUAGCGGUGAAAUGCGCAGAUAUCAGGAGGAACACCGGUGGCGAAGGCGGUGGGCUGGGCCGGCACUGACGCUGAGGAGCGAAAGCGUGGGGAGCGAACAGG